UACGUAGGGCGCAAGCGUUGUCCGGAAUUAUUGGGCGUAAAGAGCUCGUAGGCGGCUUGUCACGUCGGGGUGUGAAAGCCCGGGGCUUAACCCCGGGCCUGCAGUGGGUACGGGCAGACUAGAGUGCGGUAGGGGAGACUGGAAUUCCGUGGUGUAGCGGUGAAAUGCGCAGAUAUCAGGAGGAACACCGGUGGCGAAGGCGGGUCUCUGGGCCGUAACUGACGCUGGAGGAGCGAAAGCAUGGGGAGCGAACAGG
rnacentral:rRNA from 1 species